UACAGCAUCCCAUUUUAAUUUGAGUAACUCAUUUGCUUGAUAAUAGAUGGACGUAGAAAUGCAUACACAAUUAUUUAUGCCACCUACACUGUAUUUAUGAAAUUAAAAUGAAAAAUUAGUAUGUAAUAAAUGUUGCACAUUAUAAAUACUGAAAUUGCACAAGAGUAUGGUCUAAUUGUAAAAACUACAGUACAGUAUACACACACACAGAGCGAGAGAGAGGGAUAACAAUACUGCUGCCUAAUUUAUAAGUAGAUGUAUUUUCUUUCAAAUAAAGGUUAAAAAAAUGUCCAUAUUUUUGUACGCAGUUGGAGUUCAUCUUACGUGACUAAUUGGCUACAACUAGGUUUCUGCUUCCAGCAAGAGAAAAGCUGCAAAGAAUAAAUUCCAACAGAAGCAAAACAACAUCACAAACAACAGAGUUGUGAGAGCAGCUUGAAUGAUAUAACUACACCACCACAGAUAAUUCCCAGAUAUUUGACAAUGGGGCUAUGUCUGUGGAUGACUGGGAACUAGAAAUCUGGCUCAGGGUAAAGUGGUUUGAGCCGGCCCCCUCUGCCUUGAUAUCUGUCAUUGAUCUUGCAAAAGUGGAAUAGAUGUAGAUUGUACAUUUUGUGCGCUACUUAUUGAGAGAGUGGAGGGGACAUAAAAGGUUCAAACAAUAGCUAUAGCCCAUAUCUAACCAAACAUUAACCAUAGCAAAUAUCUAAACCUAUGUAACUGCUGGUCAAUUAAAUGAAAAAGAAACACUUAAUUAUGACAUCAUGAUAUAGAAGACUUAUAAUGUAUUAAACAGAUACUGCAGUUAAUCAUAAUCAAAUAGCUAUAGUUAGGUCUUUGCUUCUAGAAGCAAAUGAUUGGGAACUAGGAAUCUGGCUCUGGGUAAGGUUGUGCUUAACUUUGUGCUCUGUUUUAUUGAGAGAGGAGGGCACAUAACAGGUUCAAACACUAACUAUCAUCUAGAUCAGGGGUCGGGAACCUAUGGCUUGCAAGCCAUUUAUGGCUCUUUCGGUGAUUGGCUAUGGCUCAAUGGCAGGAAAAGAAAAUAGGUAGUGUGUCAAUUCAGUCCACAUUCUGCAUAUUACAUAUUUUAAAAUAUUACAUAAUUCAUAAUCGAUUCCCGUUUGUCAUGCAGACUUCAACCUGCGGCACAACAUGCUCAAUUUCCAGUGUGAAGCAGAGCGGUAAUUUCCCAGACUAAUUCAUAAAUCGAUUGAAAACUACAUAGCCAGUCUGUUUUCUUUCUUUUCUUUCCUUUUUUUUUUAACAAAGGUGAAAUGGCUAAAAGAACAAAAAUGACGAGUAUCGUUCUUUCUAGACCGAAUGGACAGACGAAUCUGCAUAUUUGGAAGUUGCAUUUAUGUGUUGAUAAAUGAGACCCCUGAUAUGGAGCGCACCACAGUUUGGGUCGACGUGGUGAAAGCAAACCAAGACCUAGACCAAUUUCACAAGCCGUGG